ensembl:lncRNA
UGAAGGCAGACAAUCUAUGCAGUUUCAAUGGCAUCUGUGGCAUCAGAGCCAGAGACUCUGGAGACAUUUGAGUCAGGAAGUGACAGGGGGUGACUGAACACAUGUAUUAUUAUCAUGGACAAUCCAUUUCACCUACUCCAUUCUUCACUGUGGAGGCAGCAGGGCUGAUUCUCUAUCAGGCUUAUUUGUUAUUCUACAUUCCCAUUGUUUGUGUCUAUGAUUUAUGGGAUAUGUGUAAUAUGCUCUUUUGCACAAUCUGAGUCUUAUUUUAAGUUCAUUUUAAUUUUCUUUAUUGUUAUCGCUUAUUGUUAUACACAAUUAAGACAGAAAAUCAACAACAACCUUGCAGAAAAUAAGAACUUCAUGAUGGGUACUUUUACUUCAACAACUUUAACAAUACUUUAACAAUGUUCUUUUUAUUCUAAAUUAUAGUGUUUUUUUUAUUUUUUUAUUUUUAUCUCGGACCCACAUUCUUGCAUGGAUUAAGAGGGUUCAAUAUCUGACCUGAACAACCUGCACCCAUGGAUUACAAAUUUGGGGGUUCUUUUGUCGACCAAAAUCGGUUCUGUUCCGUUUAGGCCCACUAGAAUGCGCAUGCUCUUAUUUUGAAGGAACACUUUCUUGUCUACUGGUUGCAUUUUGAGACGCUUUGAAAUUAACUCCACAGCUGGAGUGGUGUGGUAGAAUAGACUUUACAAGCGCCCCUUAAACUAAAAUGUAGAUAGGAGAAGGGUUUCGUGUCACUUUCAAGUGUCCAUCAGUAACUCAGUUUGUUUGUAUGUACUAAGAUCAUAAUAUCUUCAUUUUAAAAUUAAUUUAAUGAACAAACUGCAGACCUAAAACUGACUACUACCACUUAUAUUAGAAGAAAUGAUUAUUAUAAUAAAGAUAGUAUUUACAUGUUCUGCUUAACAUAGCCUAUAUAGCCUUUAUACACAGUUUCUGUGUAAGGUGUUUUUUAUGUUAGCACCUGCCAUGCCACACCAUGGUAUAAAUUAUGGGGGAGGGGAUGCCGCUACAUGUUGCUAUGCCCCUUUGUUUUCUGCUUGAUGUUAAUUGGAGUAAAAGUAUAAUCCCUCAGCCUCAGCCAAUGUGCUUUCAGGUCGCGAGGGCAACAUCGAACAUCUCCUGGGUGGACUUGAGGACGGCACGAGAGGGAUUAAGGCGAUGAUUGUCGAGAAAACUGUUGAAACUCCUUAAGUUCGCCUUGUUUGACUAAAUGCGGGUAGGUAACUUUAAACGGUACAUUUUGCUGACCAAAAAGUUAAAAAAUAAAAUAAAAUUAGAAAAAAUUUACUGGUAAAAGCGUUAGGCUAAAGCUACGGGUUAAAUUAGCAAAGUCAUCAUCAAAGUUUGCUAGCUUGUCCAGUUACAUAAACGGCUAGUUAAGUUUGCUAAGUUGGCUAGCUGAAAAGUUGCCUUUUCCCGAAAAAGUAGUUUGCUAAUGUAUUUUCCAUAUCUGUCAAAUGUCUUAAUUUACUAUGCAAAUCUUUAUAAAAAUGUUUCGUUCUUUGUACAUUGCCAGAGCUGUAACCGAGUACUGAAGAACCAAAGGGGAGUUCAGAAUGGCGUUUGAUGGACGUCAGAGCGCAUUUGCAAAUUCACUCUUCCACAGCUAUCAACGUCAGGUACGCAGGAAUAAACAGUAAUUUAGGCUAAGGUACUUUGCAUAUUUGAAAUAUCUCCAUUUCUUAAGAGUUUAUGAUAGGCCAACUCACUGAUGAUCAUUUUUCCCCUCCAUAGUUAACCAUAUUGGUUAACUUGGGUUAUGGGACAAAGGAAAAAAUGCAGUUCAUCCCAAAGGUUUUUUUUUUUUUUUUUUUUAGUUCAGAUUAGAACCACACUAAGGAAUGAAACAAUGUUUUAAUUAUGAUCUCUAAAGUUGUGCUCGCAAUUCUUGGAAGUUUUUCUUUCUUUCUUUUUUAAGUUCCUUGUAUCGCAUAGAGAUGUUUUAAAAUUGUCAAAUAAAUAGGUCUACCCUGGGGUUUCUUCCCAGUUGGAUGUACUUGUAAACCUUCUGUUACACAUCCCAACCACCUUAACUGGGUCCUUUUGACAUGCAGGAGCAGGGGAUCUACUCCAGGAAUUCCUUUGGACGUCUGAGCUUCUUAACUUGUCUUUUAAGUCUGAGCCCAGCCACCAUAUGGAAGAAACUAAUUUCUUCUGUUUGUAUUCAUGACCUCACUUUUUUGGUCAAUAUCCAGAUUACCUGAUCCUAGGUGAAGGUUGGGAUAUUGAUAGAUUGGUAAAUCAAAAGCUCUUUGUUCAUUAGGCAGUCCAGUACUGCUAAUGCCACACUGCUGGUCCAACUUGCACUCUGUCUUCCCAUCACUUGUGGAUAAGAUCCCGAGAUACUUGCUUCUUGAACCUUGCUUAAGGCAGUCUCUCUCCCCCAACACAGAGGGAGCAUACCACCGUUUUCCAGCAGAGAACCAUGGCCUCAGAUUUGGAGGUGGUGAUUCUCAUUGCAGCCAUUUCAUGCUUGGCUGCAAACUGCUCCAGUGUACGCGGGAGGUCACGCUUUGACCUUGCAAAAAUCCUCUGUGGUAUAGUAUGAGAUUCCCAAAGUGAGUGACACCCCCGCCCCGCCGCCCCCGCCUGGCUAUGCUUUGAGAUCCUGUUGAUGAAACUCAAGAACAGGAUUGGAAACGAGAGGCGACCCUCUCACUCCAACACCCACUGAAAAAGCUGCUAGGCUUUUGCCAAUAUAUUUUAGUUCAAAAACUGGCAAAUAAAUUAACAUUAUCAUUUCAAAUGUAAUUAUUUGAAAUAAUUUCAAUUCCGUAUUUUUACAGAGUUAAAAUUGUCUGUGAAAGUUUU